AGAGGCACUAGGAGCUGAGAGUGAGAACGCGGACUGUUGGAGGACUGAGGUGUACAAGCAUUAUCAGACACCAGGAGGAAGGUCCUGUGGGUUUCAGCUGUAUCCAGGCCAAUUCCAGAACAAAGAACAGAAACUGCAUCCACAGAGUCCAUAAAGUCGGCUAUUAUUGUCAUGAUUUGUAUUAUUCACUGGCCAUCAUCUGUGUGCUCAGCACUGUUCAGAAUAUGCCAGAAGAUGUAGUCCCUGAGCCAAUGUGUAUAAAAUGUGUAGCCCUGGAUAAGAUGGCUCAGACAUGUAAGUAUGAAGUGUAGAGUUAUUCAGCACACGUUAAUAUUGGUGAGUGGAGGCUCUGAUGGCAAUCGAAGUUUUACUGGAUUAAGGACUAGAAGAUUUGACCCUCCAACUUUCUUUCAAGAGGAAGAGCUGCCCAGAGCUUCUGUGCCUGUUUGUUUGCCUUUCCUGCCUGCAGUGGCCCUGAGAUACCUCAGAAGUCUCAGCUUUUUCUCAACUUUAAAAUAUAGAAUUUUCUUGGUGUUUGGUUUUAAAUAUUCUCCUGUGAGAACUGCAACUCCAGUCGCUGUCAUGUUGUGCUUAAGAGCCUUCUGGAAAGUCACGAGCCUUUCAACAGAAGGGAAAGCCGUGUUACCAACUCUCAUGAUUUUGUCAUGAGUCUCAUGAUAAUUAUGUUCCUUAAAGCCCCAGCUCCUGGAGUCAAGUGAUCUGUGAUGAUUUCAACCUUCAUUCUUAAAGAGAAAUGAAGUUUCUAGCCCUCCUGACUGUGGAGAAAGCAUCAAAAUGUGACUCCAGGGCACCCAAAAGGCUCAAACAGCAGAAGGCAAAUAAAAAGAUCCCCAAAUCUAUUAUUUUUACAUAAUCUCAUGAUUUUUGGUGAGCCUGACUCAUUGAUUUUUGAACAUUUGGGGUUGGCGACCCUGUGAAAGUCACCUUCACGCCUGUUUAAGGCCAGUUUCUAGUCUGUUAUUUGUAGUGGGGUAACACCCCUAGAGCCCCAGGCAGGUGCAGUUUAAACUCACUGGGCCUUGUUGCCCUAGUAGGAUGUUUCCAACAUUAAAUGAUCUAGUCCAAGCUUGAGGAACUGCAAAAAAGUGAUAGAAAGUUCUCUAGAUUUUUCUACAGUUGUUUCAGUUGCUGUAUUCCAGAGUUAGUAACAAAGAAUAUACAUUACAAUUUGAAGCCAAACCAGUGUCCCUUAAGUGACUUGACAUAAGAUGUGAAGAUGUUAGUAUUAGAGCUGAGUGGGUCUAAUAUUUAUUUAAUCUUCUUUUUUUAUAUAGGAAUUAGAUACAGUGCCCUAUCAGCUAAUUUAUAAUUUAUUUGCAAAAAAAACCUGGAGUUUUCAGGUGCCUAAGUAGCCCCUGGAAUCACGGUUAAAGUUGUCCCCCUUUCGCCCCCUCCCCCCAAAUCUGAAAUGGCGCCCCUGUUCCCGCCAUAUGCAAAAGCUGUAUAAGGUAGGGGAGUGAUAUCAUUCUAGGUUCUGCACUGACUGCCCACCCAAGGAUACUCCUGGAAACACCUGAGGAACAAAGUCUUAACUGGGGGAAGUGCUGGACCCAGGCUAAAGGGAUUUUUAGCCUGUGAAUGGAACACCUGGGAUUCUAAGCUGUAAGCAAGUGCAGCUUUCCCCUUAAGAAUCUGCAGCCCGCUUGUAUCAUCACUUAGGCACCUAAGGCAAGAUGGUUACAGACAGGCAGAGGAAUACAAGGAAACAAGACAAUAUUUGGUCAGCGUCAUCGACUGUGCUCUCAUCACACCUAGCAGCCUGAGUAUUGCCAAGUUUUUUAUGGGCAUCGUGGCAAAGGAGAGUUUUGAGGAGGGGUUUGAAGGCGGACAACUGUUUACACUGUGGAACCCAUGUAAUUAUAUAAAGCUAUUUUACCUGUGCUCAGUAUUUAGUGCUUCAUGAAAACUGAAAGGUGAUCAUCUUAAAUCCAUUUCUGCAACCCUUAUUCACAGGGAUAAUUCCAGAAGGCUAGCAACACUGGUCUUGUUCACAUUUCAAGAGGACUAGAGCAAAUAUUAGCUUGGAAGCAAACUAAAUAACGCAAUCAGACAUCAAAGCCUUAGCACCUUAGACUGGUGACACAUUGUAAACCUCCCAAGCUCUUGGGAAAGACAGAAUAUCCAAGGUUACCUGGACUGGAGAGGUGGGUGUGAUGCUGGCAGACCAGGUGCCAGCUCAUGCCAAUUUCCCAUGUCUCAAAUGAAGACUGACAAAUACACAGAGGGAAUCAGGCUGGCUCACCUGUGUGUUAGUGUUGUUAAAAUAGGUAUUAGGAUUGUAAGAAUGUGUUUAGUGUUUACACUUUACUGAAUGCCUCUGAGUUUCCUUAAUCUCAUUUUUAACAGCUGUGUCCCAUAUUGUAAGGUAACAUUUCAGCAUUUGUGUUGUGAGCCUCUGCGAUUGUGUAAAUCACCGACAGGAGAAAGACAGCUGGUCUUCAACAGAAGAUGUUAAGUCCUGACCAACAGGAAAGGUCCAUCAACACCAGAUGUACUACUGUGGGACGAUAAAGAGGACAAAAGACAUUUGUUGUUUUGCCCUUCCCCCUGUGAAGAGGAGUCGUGCAAGUGGAUUCCUCCCAACAGCUGAAUUUGCAGCUCAGAGCACCUGGGGGGAAGAGACUAGAAACCCCUAACAAAAAGGAACUGUGACUUUAUGCUGCUUGAACGAUGGAGGGCAAGGUUUACUAGGCAUAAGCAAGAGGUCCCCAGCUGUUAAACCUGGGUUAGCCCUAAAAGACAUAUAGAGUUUGUUUAUUACAGAAGUUCAUGUUACCUUUUGAAAUUUAAGAUUGUAACUCAUUUGUGUAUCUAUGUUCACCUGCUUUAACCCUGUAAAUAACUCUCUUGUUCCUUGUCCUAUUUAAUACAUCUUUAUAUAGUUUAUUAUAAGGUUGGCUACAAA